rnacentral:rRNA from 1 species
AUACGUAGGGGGCGAGCGUUGUCCGGAAUUAUUGGGCGUAAAGGGCGUGUAGGCGGCCUCUUAAGUCCGGUGUGAAAGCCCCCGGCUCAACCGGGGAGGGUCACUGGAAACUGGGGGGCUUGAGAGCAGGAGAGGAGAGCGGAAUUCCACGUGUAGCGGUGAAAUGCGUAGAGAUGUGGAGGAACACCAGUGGCGAAGGCGGCUCUCUGGCCUGGCUCUGACGCUGAGGCGCGAAAGCGUGGGGAGCAAACAGGAUUAGAUACCCUGGUAGUCCACGCCGUAAACGAUGAGUGCUAGGUGUUAGUGGGGUUACCCAUUAGUGCCGAAGGAAACCCAAUAAGCACUCCGCCUGGGGAGUACGGCCGCAAGGCUGAA